rnacentral:rRNA from 1 species
UACGGAGGAUGCGAGCGUUAUCCGGAUUUAUUGGGUUUAAAGGGUGCGUAGGCGGACGCUUAAGUCAGCGGUAAAAUUGCGGGGCUCAACCUCGUCGAGCCGUUGAAACUGGGUGCCUUGAGUGGGCGAGAAGUACGCGGAAUGCGUGGUGUAGCGGUGAAAUGCAUAGAUAUCACGCAGAACUCCGAUUGCGAAGGCAGCGUACCGGCGCCCAACUGACGCUGAGGCACAAAAGUGCGGGGAUCGAACAGG